GACGAACGCUGGCGGCGUGCUUAACACAUGCCAGUCGAACGGAAAGGCCUUGCUUUUGUGGGGUGCUCGAGUGGCGAACGGGUGAGUAACACGUGAGUAACCUGCCCUUGACUUUGGGAUAACUUCAGGAAACUGGGGCUAAUACCGGAUAGGAGCUCCUGCUGCAUGGUGGGGGUUGGAAAGUUUCGGCGGUUGGGGAUGGACUCGCGGCUUAUCAGCUUGUUGGUGGGGUAGUGGCUUACCAAGGCUUUGACGGGUAGCCGGCCUGAGAGGGUGACCGGCCACAUUGGGACUGAGAUACGGCCCAGACUCCUACGGGAGGCAGCAGUGGGGAAUAUUGCACAAUGGGCGGAAGCCUGAUGCAGCAACGCCGCGUGCGGGAUGACGGCCUUCGGGUUGUAAACCGCUUUCGCCUGUGACGAAGCGUGAGUGACGGUAAUGGGUAAAGAAGCACCGGCUAACUACGUG
rnacentral:rRNA from 1 species